rnacentral:tRNA from 1 species
GACGAGGUGGCCGAGUGAUUAAGGCGAUGGACUGCAAAUCCAUUGGGCUCUGCCCGCGUGGGUUCAAAUACCAUCCUCGUCG